rnacentral:lncRNA from 1 species
UGUUGAAAGGGUGAAAGAAAGUGGAAACAAAGUGGCUAAAAAAAAAUUUAAAAGAUGGGUAUGCCUGCCUGUCACAUGGGCCCCCUAUUAGAAGUAUGGUGUGGAGAGAGAUAUCUUCCAAAGUAGAGGCAUUGAAGCUUUUUUUAUAGGUGUUAAGAAGGAGGGGGAUUUUAUAGUUUUUAGAUGUGGGACUAAAGGAAGGAAUAAAGAUUAAAAGAUGGAUGGUUG